CGCUGGCGGCAGGCUAACACAUGCAAGUCGAGCGAUCGCAGCAAUGCGGGAGCGGCAGACGGGUGAGUAGCGCGUGGGAACGUACCCUCCGGUUCGGAAUAACUCAGGGAAACUUGAGCUAAUACCGGAUACGGCUUAGCGGCGAAAGAUUUAUCGCCGGAGGAUCGGCCCGCGUUCGAUUAGCUAGUUGGUGAGGUAACGGCUCACCAAGGCGACGAUCGAUAGCUGGUCUGAGAGGAUGAUCAGCCACAUUGGGACUGAGACACGGCCCAAACUCCUACGGGAGGCAGCAGUGGGGAAUAUUGGGCAAUGGGCGCAAGCCUGAUCCAGCCCAUGCCGCGUGAGUGAUGACGGCCUUAGGGUUGUAAAGCUCUUUCGCUAGGGACGAUAAUGACGGUACCUAGAUGAGAAGCCCCGGCUAACUUCGUGCCAGCCGCUGC
rnacentral:rRNA from 1 species